rnacentral:tRNA from 1 species
GGAGGUAUGGCUCAAGUAGUAGAGUGCCUGCCUGGUAUGCACAGGUCUUGAGUUCAAAUCCCAGUACUGCCA